CAGCAAUCCUGACCGUAUUAUACCUGAUCUGCUUCACUUUAAUCUGCCUCUGCUACAUUUGGAUUUUAAUAUCUGAUCUAAAAAGAAGGUUGUACUAUACACUGAAGAAGGGAAGUAAAUCCUGUGUGUCUUGAGCAAGAGACAAAGAAGAAUCAGAGUGGGAGCUGAAGCUGAAGUGGUAUGGCAUCUUUUCUUGCCAUGGGCCUCAAUCAAAACCAGAAGUCUUUCCAGUCACCUGGCAAAUGGCAAAAGCAGGAUACACAGCAAUGCCCCAGAUAGUCACUGCUGCACCAGGCUGGGUCCUGCAGUAAGGAUGAUGCAGAGCAGAACUGCCAACCAACCUGCAAUGGAUACGCAGUACAAGUGAGAAAUAAAUUCUUAAGUUUUAAGCCACUGACAUCAUGGAGUUAUUUUGUUACUACAGUGUAACCCAGCUCAUCCUGACUGAUAUGACUGUGAAUUCAACUGGUGAUUAAACACUGAGUUUAAAUCUUGGCUCUCUCAGUUCAGUAUGUACAAGAUAUAGGAGAUAUUUUCAACAACUUUACAUAAAGUCCCUACGUUU
rnacentral:lncRNA from 10 species